rnacentral:rRNA from 1 species
UACGUAGGGUGCGAGCGUUGUCCGGAAUUAUUGGGCGUAAAGAGCUCGUAGGCGGUGUGUCGCGUCGGCCGUGAAAACCUGCAGCUUAACUGUGGGCUUGCGGUCGAUACGGGCAUCACUGGAGUUCGGCAGGGGAGACUGGAAUUCCUGGUGUAGCGGUGAAAUGCGCAGAUAUCAGGAGGAACACCGAUGGCGAAGGCAGCCCCCUGGGUCAAGAUUGACGCUCAUGCACGAAAGCGUGGGGAGCAAACAGG